GACGGGUGCUGUCGGUGGGGUCUGACACACAAUCUAAAGGUGAUACAUCAGACAGGUGCUGUCAGUAGAGUCUGAUACACAAUCUAAGGUGAUACAUCAGGCGGUGUUGUCCAGUAGAGUCAGAAUACACAAUCUACAAUGUGAUACAUCAGACAGGUGUUGUCCAGUAGAGUCUGAUACACAAUAUACAAGGUGAUACAUCAGACAGCUGUUGUCCAGUGAGUGUGAUACACAAUCUACAAAGGUG